AUUGAACGCUAGCGGGAUGCCUUACACAUGCUAGUCGAACGGAGUGGCGAACGGGGGAGUAAUGUAUCGGAACGUGCCCAGUAGCGGGGGAUAACUACGCGAAAGCGCAGCUAAUACCGCAUACUAUUGGAGCGGCCGGUGCCGGAUUAGCUGGUUGGUGGGGUAACGGCUCACCAAGGCGACGAUCCGUAGCUGGUUUGAGAGGACGACCAGCCCCACUGGGACUGAGACAGGGCCCAGACUCCUACGGGAGGCAGCAGGGGGGAAUUUUGGACAAUGGGGGAAACCCUGAUCCAGCCAUCCCGCGUGUACGAUGAAGGCCUUCGGGUUGUAAAGCACUUUUGGCAGGAAAGCGGUACCUGCAGAAUAAGCACCGGCUAACUACGUGCCAGCAGCCGCGGUAAUUC
rnacentral:rRNA from 1 species